CGUGAAACCCGGCGUGAACAUGGGGGGUCCACCCUCCAAGGCUAAGUACUACUUGACGACCGAUAGUUAACCAGUAAGGCGACUGAAUGAUGAAAACUACCCCUGCUAGGGGUGUGAAAGAGUAGCUGAAACCAUGUGCUUACACAGCGGUCAGAGCCCUUCGGGGUGAUGGCGUGCCUUUUGCAUAAUGACCCGGCGAGUUGGCGUAGGCGGCAAGGUUAA
rnacentral:rRNA from 1 species